UGGUGAAACAACAACCACGUGUGUAUUAUUUACACAUACGUACAGCUAUAGAUUAGGUACCUGUGUGCAGUACCGGUAUGGUACCGAGCAUUUAUAGUUUAAUAAUAACAUAUUUUUAUUAAUGCAUGUACCUUAUAGCAUGAAAAAAUCAUUUAAUCGCAUUUGGUUCGCCUUUAAACGUGUGAAUUUUAAACCUUGAAAUUCCGACUGGGGAUCAGGAUUCAUAUAUAGUUUCGAGCACCGGGGAUCCUGGCAGUGACCAGUACGUCAUAAGUAACAGAGAGGUUCCAAGAAGCGUGGAGCUCUGGGCCAGUGAUCUUGGGUGUGUUUUGGGAGAGAGGGGAGGAUUUAAGUGGGGAGGAGUGUAACAGGAGCAGCUUUCCAGUGCUUAUACUAGCAGUAGCUAGUGGAAAUUUCCCUUUAGCUCCGUUGGUAGAGCGCUGGACGUCGGCUGCGGAGACCCAAGUUCGAAUCCUUGUGUCACCCACGUAGGGAAAUUCUUCAGCGAUUACAUAAGUACAUUGUGCAUGAAGUAGGACCAUACAAUGUGCACUCUCAUCAAAUGCGCUGUGAAGUUCACGCUGUCAACUCUAAAGUCACAUCGAUGCACCUUGUCAAAAACUCAGGCUUGUUAUCCCCUUCAUAUGGAGCCCACCAAUUCUCUAAGCUGAUGUGUCUAACUACUCAGUGCUCACAAGUGGUGGAGCUGUGCAAGCUUGUUCUUGGAGAGUUCAACAUUGACUGAUACAGGGGAAGAGAAGCCGCACUCAGCACAGGCAAACCUCUCUGUGACGCACACACCCCAAGGCACCUCGCUGUUCAAAUCUCAGUUCAGCCCUUCAGGACAGUAUGAUGUUGUGGUCCAGUGGUAGGCAAAUGCGGUAUUCUACAGCUCGGCGGUCUUUCCCAGGUGCAGCAGUCUGUAGGUGUUUUACUCAGCUUUUGAUCUCUGGCAUUCAGCCUGCUGGUCUGCCAGCAAGCUGAAGAUGGUCGUGAGUUUUCCCCAAGCUUUGCCCGGUUUAAUACUGGCUAUCAUCAUUAGCUGUCUGGUUGAAUAACAAAUAUUCAUGAAUUUCAUCAUAUUUGGCCACUGUCCUAACAGAUUGACAACUCCAUUUUCUGAUAUGGUGGAACAGUUUGCACUGUCAUCGUUGUCUUCAUCUCAUUGAACUUCAAGCAAAAUGCAAGCCAUCAAUCCAGGACCUCCUACAGAAAUGCAUCCUACACCUUUCACAGACCUAAAUGUACUGUGUGCAGUAAUGCUCGAAUGACUAUACUCGGGAACGUCCAAAUAUGGAGAAGAGUAAACAUUAAUAACAUAUUUGUAAUAAUCAGCUCAUUACAUAUUAUUCUUGCUGAUAGUAUGAGUACAUCAAUGCAGAAAUUGCAAAGUUCUUGCCCACUUGUUAAAGUGAAGGUAGAAAGUGAUAAUAUUUAAAUUGUGUAAUAUAUAUUACAUAUAGGUGAAUGACUUAAAAUUUUACCCCAAAAGUUCAUUUUUAGAGGCAAAUAAAUGUUGUCAGAUAUACUUUUGGUGCGAUAACUUACCUAUUCCUUAGGAUAUCGUCCUACUUUCCAAACAAACCCCAAAACACCUUUAUAACAUUAAUAGAACUCUCAGAAUAAGACACAAGGUACAAUUUUUGUGAUGGUCCAAAUUUAAGGUCAUAUACCAUGAAUUUCCAAAGUACUUUAACUGCCUUAUCGGUGUAAAUGUUCAAAUAAUAUGUCUUUGUCCAUGUUCAUUUGUAAUAUUUUUUGGUUAAAUAAGUAUAAAUAAAG